GUGGAUUUAAAUGUAAAAAAUAUAAAUAAUAACUGGUAAUUGUAUGGUAGUGUGUGUGUGGUGUGUCAGUGAAUGUGUCUGUCAAUGAGUGUGUCAGUGAGUAUGUCUGUGUAUGUCAGUUAGUGUGUCUGUCAGUGAGUAUGUCUAUGCCUGUCAGUGUAUGUGUGUGUCUGUCAGUGAGUGUGUCUGUGUCUGUCAGUGAGUGUGUCUGUGUCUGUCAGUUAGUGUGUCUGUGUCUGUCAGUUAGUGUGUCUGUGCCUGUCAGUGUGUCUGUCUGUCUAUCAGUGAGUGUGUGUGUCUGUCAGUGUGUGUGUUUGUGUCUGUCAGUGAGUAUGUCUGUCUUUCAGUGAGUGUGUCUGUCAGUGAGUGUAUGUUUCUGUUAGGGAGUGUUUGAGUGUCUGUCAGUGAGUGUGUGUGUCUGUCAGUGAGUGUGUGUAUGUCAGUGUUUGUGAGUGAGUGAAUGUGUGUGUCUGUCAGAGCGUGUUAAAUCAGUGAGGAUUUUUGUUUCAGUGUGUGUUUUUCAGUGAGUGUAUGUCAGUGUAUGUGUAUCUGAGAGUGUGUGCCUGUCAGUGUGUGUGUGUGUCUAGAGUGAAAGUGUGUGUGAAAGUGUAGGUUGUUUAAACAGUGUGUGUGCCAAUAACUGAAUCUGUCAGUGAGUGUAUGUCAGUGCAUGUGUCAAUGAGGGUGUGCGUCUGUCAGUCAUAAAAGUGGCCUCGACACAAAUUGGUGGUGCAUAUUUAGAUUAGGGGGGGUGUCUAAAUUUAGUCGUGCCUAGGGCAGCACAAAUCCAAGAUACACCACUGG